rnacentral:rRNA from 1 species
ACGGGAGGCAGCAGUGAGGAAUAUUGGUCAAUGGAGGCAACUCUGAACCAGCCAAGUCGCGUGAAGGAAGAAGGCCCUACGGGUCGUAAACUUCUUUUGCAGGGGGAUAAAGUCGGCCACGCGUGGCCGUUUGCAGGUACCCUGUGAAUAAGCAUCGGCUAACUCCGUGCCAGCAGCCGCGGUAAUACGGAGGAUGCGAGCGUUAUCCGGAUUUAUUGGGUUUAAAGGGUGCGCAGGCGGCCCGUUAAGUCAGCGGUGAAAUGUCGGGGCUCAACCCGGGCACUGCCGUUGAAACUGGGGGGCUUGAGUACGGAUGAGGUCGGCGGAAUGUGACGUGUAGCGGUGAAAUGCAUAGAUAUGUCACAGAACACCGAUUGCGAAGGCAGCCGGCCAAUCCGCAACUGACGCUCAUGCACGAAAGCGUGGGGAUCGAACAGGAUUAGAUACCCUGGUA